AAUCCCUAAUUUUAGUUUUCAUCUUCUCCUCUUGGUAUCGCAGGAAAAAGAAAUAUCCACCGGUAAAACCAGAUCUCCUGCCGUUGCGAAGGAUCUUAGCCUCCGAGAAGAACGGAAAACGUCUCCCUGGAGUUCUGCUGAUGUUUUAAGAAAUGAGCUGCUCUACUUCAGGUUCUGAUACCGAGGCGAGUUCUUCAUCUUUCGAUACGGACAUUGAACUUGAACGAUUCAGCCGAUAUAAAUCUUGCGAAUACUCCAGAUGCAAUGCCCGAGAAGGUGCGUAUGGAUUCACGUCGUCGUAGCUUUCUUGCUAACACAAAUGUAAAAUAUACAUAUGACGACCCCAGCUCUGCUGACUCUCCUAGUAACUUUGUUGUUCCUCUCCGAAACAACAUUGAGAGCGAGAGCUCCAACAACUCUGCGAUCGGUGGUUAUUUAGAGAAUCCCCUUGAAGACGAUCCUCCAACGGUGGUUCCUACUGUUGAUCUUGGUAUUCCCUCCUCCAGGGAUGAUUUUGCUGUCGAUGCGGACAUUCCUUCACCCAUCCCAACUGCACCGUUUCCCUCCCCCAACUGGUAUGUUUUUCUCUUAUGAAGCUUGUUGUGUAAAUUUUGACAAGCUCAUUAUCUGGUGCAACUGAUUUUUAACUUGCUGGGACCUGUCAAUCAAUUAAUGCUUGCUGGUAAAUGUAAAUAAUUGUCAUUGUUCUCGAGACGAUGCUUUGAAUGCUCCCGAUGUUAAUGAAAACCAGAAAGGUGCGGAUCCAUCAUCCACCUCCACCAGUGUUCCAGUUUCCCCAAACCUCAAAUUUAGAGCCCAUAAAUACUCAACAAUGCAAGGACAAUCUUGCCUACGACUCUGCUCCUGCACCUUGCACGAAAAUGCAAGAUUGUACUGGUGUGUUGGAUGAUUCGUUUACAAACUCAGGCCAUGGACUUUCAGGUAGUGGCUCUCGCAAGCGGUCUCAUGUGGAGGAUGAACACACAGUUGUACAUAGGGCCUUCUCCAAUUAUCUAGAUAGUCCUGUCAUCCAAUCUCGGCUUCCAACAACUCUAGCAUCCGGUUCUACGUGCAAUUUCCCGGACUUCCCUUAGCUCAUGCAAUAUAAGAAGGAGAACUUUAACCAGGUAAAUCCCAAAUCUUACUCCUCCUUGUCCCUACGAUCUGCAUAGCGCUGCACUAGAAAUUAAAACUUGCAUGCAGUAAUGGCAAUAUCGAACAUUAUCUUGUCCUCCAUCUUUUUCAUAUGAAAUUCUGAAUGCUAAAGGUGCUAGUUACCACAAAAACACUUCUCGUGAUUAAGCAGCUGUUACUGUUUGUUAGAAUCACAUACUGACUGAUUUUUCUGCAUAUCUUAUCAACUGAAUCUUCUGUUGAGGUUUUCUGGGAGCUUUACUAACUUCAGGUGUUACUGUGCCGUGCAUAUAUAUGUGUCUCUACGUAUAUGUAUGUAUAUUUUCCCUUCUUUCUUUCCCUUCCUUUUAUCCGUUUGUUGCAGCUAAUGAGUUCCAUCUCAUUCUUGAACAACCCAUGCUCUCACUGUUCUUCAUGGUCCGACCGCGAACUUAAAAUGGGGAAAGAGAUUCUGGUGCUCAGGACCAUGGUGAACGAGUUAAAGAAUGUUGUGAAAGACCAGAGGGAAGAGAUUUCUCGCAAUAAGAAGGUCAUCCAUUCUUGAGUGUAGCGAGUCUAUAACAAAAAUCUCUGAACUUGAGUCGCUUCUUCUGGCUAGAUCUAACGAACUUUCUCGAGUAUAUCAGGAAUUGCAGGUUUCAAAGUCUCGAGAGAGUAACCUGGAUCGAAUCAGGAAUGCUUUGUCAGCAGCUGAUGCCAACACGCUCUAUGCAAUAUCGAAUGACACAGAGCGGUCAGUCUUGUGUAAUCAUCGACCAAUCCGCAUCCGAGUAUGUUUAUUAUACAAUCUGUAAUAUCAUUUGACUGACAGCAAAUACGCAUCCAUCCACCCUUCGCUUGUUUAGAAUAGGACCACUGCCACAUUUUUGAAGAAGUGAAAUCCAUAUAUGAAACUUUUUUUUUAUCUUUGACAUAGUUAUGUAGUCGCCCCCACUGGCAUAUACGAAUACGAAUGAACUGAAGUAUUUGUCUAUGCUAGUAAACUUGCUUGCUCAUUUCUUGUCAAAGUUCACUGUAGUGCGAUAAUUUUAUGCUUGAAGUGGUACUCUUAUACGAAUCAACAAUUAAUGACCAUGUUUCAUUGCA